UACGAAGGGGGCUAGCGUUGCUCGGAAUCACUGGGCGUAAAGCGCACGUAGGCGGAUCUUUAAGUCAGGGGUGAAAUCCUGGAGCUCAACUCCAGAACUGCCUUUGAUACUGGGGGAUCUCGAGUCCGGAAGAGGUGAGUGGAACUCCGAGUGUAGAGGUGAAAUUCGUAGAUAUUCGGAAGAACACCAGUGGCGAAGGCGGCUCACUGGUCCGGUACUGACGCUGAGGAGCGAAAGCCAGGGGAGCAAAGCGGG
rnacentral:rRNA from 1 species